rnacentral:rRNA from 1 species
UACGUAGGGUGCAAGCGUUGUCCGGAAUUAUUGGGCGUAAAGAGCUCGUAGGCGGUCUGUCGCGUCCGCUGUGAAAACUCAGGGCUUAACCCUGAGCUUGCAGUGGGUACGGGCAGACUAGAGUGCGGUAGGGGAGACUGGAAUUCCUGGUGUAGCGGUGAAAUGCGCAGAUAUCAGGAGGAACACCGGUGGCGAAGGCGGGUCUCUGGGCCGUAAC